rnacentral:rRNA from 1 species
GACGAACGCUGGCGGCGUGCCUAAUCCAUGCAAGUAGAACGCAGUUGAGAACGGGUGAGUAACGCGUAGGUAACUGCCUGGUAGCGGGGGCUAACUAUUGGAAACGAUAGCUAAUACUGCAUGCUACCAGAUGGACCUGCGUUGUAUUAGCUAGUUGGUGAGGUAACGGCUCACCAAGGCAACGAUACAUAGCCGACCUGGGAGGGUGAGUGGCCACACUGGGACUGAGACACGGCCCAGACUCCGACGGGAGGCAGCAGUAGGGAAUCUUCGGCAAUGGGGGGAACCCUUACCGAGCAAAGCCGAGUGAGUGAAGAAGGUUUUCGGAUCGUAAAGCUCUGUUGUUAAGUAAGCGUGACUGAACCAGAAAGGGACGGCUAACUACGUGCCAGCAGCCGCGGUAAUUC